rnacentral:lncRNA from 10 species
CAAACUCCUGGCCUCAUGAUCUGCCUGCCUCAGCCUCCCAAAGUGUUGGGAUUACAGGCAUGAGACACUGUGCCCGGCCUUAAUGUAUUUCAUUACACAUUGUAAAUAUCAUAACAAUGUAUUUCCCAAUUUAAAAGGUUAAAAAUACAUAAGAGUGAAUUGUUUUAAAACUAUAAUUCCAGGCCCUGAUAAACUUCUGGUUAAAUAUCAGGAUAGACUAAAGACAUUUUCAGAUACAAAGGUCUCAAAAACUUUAUUUCCCAUGAACCUUACUAGAAAGCUACUGAAGGAUGUGCUCAAAUUAAACAAGAAACCAAGUUCGAAAUGGAAAAACAUAAAGACAGGUAAAACAAUGCAAGAGAUGCCAAGAAUAUCCCCAAGAUACCUGAGCCACUGGCUUAGUGAACAAAUGUGCCUGUGUUGCAGAUGAGAAGGCUCCUUGAGAGUAUUCUGCAAGAUGAAAAUGGUAUAAAGCCAGAUGCCUUAAAAUGAAUUCAGAAAACUAGACAACUGCAGGGGACAGUUUGGGAAUGAAUUAAGGAAAGAACAUGGAAUACAAAGCAUACUGAAGAGCUGAUGCUAAGAUAAAAGCUAAAAUGGACUGACAUUAAUGGCAGUUUAUCUUCCAAGACUUUCCCUGGAAUUUCCAAGCGUGAAAAAAGACUGCAGAGGCUGCGUGCGGUGGGUCAUGCCUGUAAUCCCAG